CCAUCUCACUCAACUAGCCUAACUUUGGAUCCAACUUAGAUCAGAAGAAAAACUACAGAGAACAGAGCUUACUACCCCAGCUGCAUGCACCCCCUCUGGCUUCCCAAGGGCUGCUGUGUGCCUGUUGUGAAGGGCCCGAUGUGCAUGGUGAAGCAACUAAAGCCGGGCAGAUAACCCCGUGGCCAAAUCACUGCCUGCAAGCGCUGGCGAGGAGAGCGUUGCCUCCGCGUCCGUGUGACUGUGGCGUGGAAGGCGGCCUGGCGGCACCACCACGUGAUGGUUAAUACGCUCACCUCUCGAGGUGCCUCUCCGACCCCCCACGGCGCUGUGGAGGAGAGCCACCCCACCCUCGCCCAGCAG